rnacentral:rRNA from 1 species
GAUGAACGCUGGCGGCGUGCCUAAUACAUGCAAGUAGAACGCUGAAGGAGGAGCUUGCUCUUCUGGAUGAGUUGCGAACGGGUGAGUAACGCGUAGGUAACCUGCCUGGUAGCGGGGGAUAACUAUUGGAAACGAUAGCUAAUACCGCAUGACAACAGUUAUUGCAUGAUAACUGUUUAAAAGGGGCAACUGCUCCACUACCAGAUGGACCUGCGUUGUAUUAGCUAGUUGGUGAGGUAACGGCUCACCAAGGCGACGAUACAUAGCCGACCUGAGAGGGUGAUCGGCCACACUGGGACUGAGACACGGCCCAGACUCCUACGGGAGGCAGCAGUAGGGAAUCUUCGGCAAUAGACGGAAGUCUGACCGAGCAACGCCGCGUGAGUGAAGAAGGUUUUCGGAUCGUAAAGCUCUGUUGUAAGAGAAGAACGAGUGUGAGAGUGGAAAGUUCACACUGUGACGGUAUCUUACCAGAAAGGGACGGCUAACUACGUG